rnacentral:rRNA from 1 species
AAUGAACGUUGGCGGCGUGGAUUAGGCAUGCAAGUCGAGCGCGCGAAGUUUGGUGCUUGCAUUAAACUUCAAAAGCGGCGAAAGGGAGAGUAACGCGUAGGGUACCUGCCCCCGGGACUGGGAUAGCGGUGGGAAACUGCCGGUAAUACCAGAUGAUGUCCCCGGACCAAAGGUGAGAUUCCGCCUGGGGAUGGUCCUGCGUCCUAUUAGUUAGUUGGUAGGGUAACGGCCUACCAAGACGUUGAUGGGGUAGCGGGCGUGAGAGCGUGGCCCGUCUCACUGGGACUGAGACACUGCCCAGACACCUACGGGAGGCAG